rnacentral:lncRNA from 1 species
GUGAGCUUAUGUUCAACAAGAGUUCAUUUUGUGUUUGUGUUACACAUGUAUGGGGUAUGGAAGCAUACCUAUGGCACUCUUCAAGGUUCCAGACCACUAUUUAUUUUAGUUUCUGUUCCAGGCAGAUGUCCUGGAUCUAAUCCAGGAUUUAACUGAUUCAAGGUUGUUGGGUCCAGUGGAAACCUUGAGACCCCUCCUCCCUGGCUGGCUCUGAAGUCCAAUAUUUGUCUUCUUGGCAUGGCAGAGAAUAUGUAGAGAAGUUCAGAGAAGAACAAUCCAAUCAACACUGAAAGAAUACUUAUGACAUUUCCUCAGUGUAAUGGCCCUCAGGGAAACUGCAUUCUAGAGGAGAGUAAAGAAGGUCAUAAAGAGAAGAAAGAGCCAGGAAAGAGUCGAAAUACAUGUUUGCAGGUAUCAGUAAAAUUGCUCCUGUGGGCUAAAGACGGGGGGAGGGUUAACAGGGAAAAGGUCAUAAGGAUCACUCCGGAUGCGCCAUUCUGAAAUGUUCUGUUGGAAUUGACUGUGGUGUACAGUGUCCCAAAGAGUGAGAGAAGCAAAAGACAGAGGGCUGGGCCUCUAUGGAGAGUCUAUCAAAAAUAGAGUAGAUAUCACCACAUCUGACUACGAUGCUGCCGAUGGAGCACCUUGGUGUGAGUCAGAAGCAAUGAGAUUCUCAUACUGUACAAAAUGGGAAUGGAAAGGCAGUUCAGAGAAGAGGCAGAAUAGGUAAAACCGUUGCAAUAACUUAAAUAGCACAGAAAAGUUUUGAACGACAAUUAAUUAUACAUGAUACAGCUGAAGAGGCAUACAACACAACUAAGAUAAUCCUUAUUGCUUUUUUUAAAAAUACAUGCACGUGAUUAGAAAAAUUGUCCUGAAAGGAAUAAAGUUCACCCUUUCAACUUUUGUUCA